AUUAAUUCAACGCGGAAACUAGCACAAGAGCGUUAAAACUGGGAGCACAGUAUUAGUCGUCGACCACGUCCCCGAUCGUUAUAUCAUCUCGCUUAUCUGCAAAACAAAUGAAACGCUUACAGUCGACUCUUUCAUGAUGCCGGCAAAACUGUUAACGUACGACGAGCGUUGAUGAUGGCGGCGUCUGCGGUGCUAGUGUUAGCCACGUCGGAAGAACUCGCAUGAUCAUCGCUAUGUUCUGGGAAAUCCUGGAUGGGAGUCUGAAACACACAGACGAGCAGCAGUUAUUGGACGCUGUGGGAUGCGGUGGUUUGACCACGCUUACACCUUGCACUGGAAGAAACGGCAGGACAACAAGGAACACAGUGAAACCAUACAUUUCGUCAAUCAGUAAAUGAUCGGUAAAACAAAAAGGUUAUGAAUCCCCGUUAUUAUGAAAUGACUACCGACAUACGAGCAUUUUAUAUGAGUUCGUGUACGGUGUAAGUGUGCCAUGCAAAAGAAUUGCUGACGCCCAUGAUAGCGUGGAAGCCCCGUGAUUAUUAAGUGGCCUGAUGUGGUGACACUGAUUCAGCUGUGCCGGCGUUACCAUCGGAAAUACUUGUGAAAAAACGCGAAUCAGCCAAUUUUUCGGAUGUCCACAAGCUUAAGACUCGAUUCUUGGUAUAAUUACUGCAUUUUUCUACGUUUCAUCAUGCACCGAAUUCGUACUAAUCUAUUCGGAUUGACGUGAUGCACAAUUCCAAGUGUUUGUUUAAAGUCAACUUGCUCGUUCAUUUAUACACAAGCUUCGACUGCUCUGUAACGAGAAAUAGUGGAAAAAUGGGCCGAGCUGA